AUUGAACGCUGGCGGCAGGCCUAACACAUGCAAGUCGAGCGAGCGGCGGACGGGUGAGUAAUGUAUGGGGACUGCCCGAUAGAGGGGGAUAACUACUGGAAACGGUAGCUAAUACCGCAUACUAUCGGAUAACCCAUAUGGGAUUAGCUAGUAGGGGGGGUAAAGGCUCACCUAGGCGACGAUCCCUAGCUGGUCUGAGAGGAUUACCCGCCACACUGGAACUGAGACACGGUCCAGACUCCUACGGAGGCAGCAGUGGGGAAUAUUGCACAAUGGGCGCAAGCCUGAUGCAGCCAUGCCGCGUGUAUGAAGAAGGCCCUAGGGUUGUAAAGUACUUUCAGUCGGGAGGCGUUACCGACAGAAGAAGCACCGGCUAACUCCGUGCCAGCAGCCGCGGUAAUAC
rnacentral:rRNA from 1 species